AUGUAAUGCCUACAAUGUUAAUGCAUCAGAUCCCAUCAAAACUCUACAGCUAAGCACACUUGGGAUAGAGUAGUACUCGGAUGGGUGGCCUCCUAGGAAAUCCUAGUGUUUUACAUG
rfam:Picea glauca, whole genome shotgun sequence.